GAGUGCAUCCCCAUGAAGGUAAGAGAUUAUUGUAAGUAGAGUUAAAAAAAGGAGAUGGCGGCUUUUGAAGAGUUAGAUAUAAUAUCCUAAAAAAUAAAAUAAAUAAGAUAGAGAUAAUGCGUUCAAUUGUGACUAACCGUAUUGUGCAGUGCUCAAUCGCUACCGCACCAGGUGGUGAAACUAAUUCUCCCGCCAAAUUGCAACCACCCUCUUUCUCAACCCUAAAGUUCCGCUCCGAUAGGUCCAACGACCAUGCUUCUUCAGGUGAUGUAGGGGUUUCGAGUAGUAGGAGAGGUGUAAUAUGUAGCAUCGCCACUUUGCCAUGUCUUCUUCCAUUCACUCACAUCUUUGGUUCUCUCCCGGCCUCCGCCGUGCCGCCGCCGCCAUUGGGUGGAGAUGAAUAUGUUCGAAUUAAACAAGAGUUGGGGAAGGUAUUGUCUAAGGGAAAGGCCGCCGGUGUGCUUCGUUUGGUUUUUCAUGAUGCUGGAACUUUUGAAAUUGAUGACAAUACAGGUGGCAUGAAUGGUUCUAUAGUCUACGAACUCGAAAGACCUGAAAAUGCUGGUCUGAAAAAAUCAGUAAAGGUUCUGCAGAAAGCCAAGACUCAGAUAGAUGCGAUCCAUCCAGUAUCCUGGGCGGACGUUAUUGCGGUGGCUGGAGCGGAAGCUGUUGAAGUAUGUGGUGGUCCUACUAUCCAAGUUUCACUCGGCAGACAAGAUUCUCUGGGGCCUGAUCCUGAAGGGAAACUUCCUGAAGAAACCCUUGAUGCUUCUGGUUUGAAAAGAUGCUUCCAGAAAAAAGGCUUCUCAACACAAGAACUGGUAGCUUUGUCUGGAGCUCACACUCUUGGAAGUAAGGGUUUUGGAAGCCCUACUUCUUUUGACAAUUCAUAUUAUAAGGUUCUGUUGGAAAAGCCACCAACGCCUUCAGGCGGUAUGUCGACUAUGAUUGGUCUUCCUUCAGAUCACGCACUUGUCGAGGAUGAUGAAUGCUUAAGGUUCUUUAUGGUUUAACAAGCACAUAUAUUACAAUUAAAUAAAGUUGACUCCAUUGCAUUUAAUUUUUGUGAAGUAGGCAAGCACUAGGAUCUCAAUUAUUCUAGAAAAUAAGAGAUGGAUUAAAAAGUACGCAGACAAUGAGGAUAUGUUCUUUGAAGAUUUCAAAAAUGCGUAUGUCAAGCUGGUGAAUUCUGGUGUGAGGUGGAGUGGCUUAUAAUUCAGGAGUUGAAAGUUCCAACUUACAUUCAAAGGACACCUUGAUUAUUACUAUUCAAGGAGCUGUGUUAAAAUUUUGAUUAUCAAGAUGUACAUCAUUAAAUUUGUGUACCGAAGUGUUUAAAUUUGUUGGUUUGGUUGACAUGCUUCGAUCUUCUUACUCUGGUUCAAACCAGCAUACAAAUACAAAGGACAAAGAAACCAUUAUUGUUA